rnacentral:rRNA from 1 species
CAGUCGCCGCGGUAAUACGAAGGGUGCAAGCGUUAAUCGGAAUUACUGGGCGUAAAGCGUGCGUAGGCGGUUUGUUAAGUCUGUUGUGAAGUCCCCGGGCUCAACCUGGGAAUGGCAAUGGAUACUGGCAAGCUAGAGUGUGUCAGAGGAUGGUGGAAUUCCCGGUGUAGCGGUGAAAUGCGUAGAGAUCGGGAGGAACAUCAGUGGCGAAGGCGGCCACCUGGGACAACACUGACGCUGAGGCACGAAAGCGUGGGGAGCAAACAGGAUUAGAUACCCGCGUAGUCCCUGUCUCUUAUAC